rnacentral:lncRNA from 1 species
AAGAUCUAAGCCUUAUGCUAAUUGCCUUAGUCUUCUCUUAAGCACUUUGGUGGAUAUAACACUUGUGUUUAUGUGAAAAUCAAGCCUAUAACACCCUUCAAAUGGCCGGCCAAUGGGGUAUUUAUAGUCCAAACAUGAAGAACUAGCCAUUACUCAUAAAAGGUUGAUUUUACUGUUAACACUAGAUGAUAUGAUGAUUUUAUUGUUGAUACUGUAUGAAUUGGUGAUAUGUGAUGGUGAGGAAUUUGAGUACGAUGAUAAGGAAUCAUAAUGAUAAAAACUAGCCAUUAUGUUGAAUAUUUUGCUCUCUUAUAGCUGAAACAUAAUGAUACAUGAUCGACCUUACAUUGAUCCUCCAAUAUUCAAGACAGAGAGGAGACAAAACUCAUCAUAGGAAUCCGGUGAUGGCAACUGAUCCGAUGUGAAUAUAUAGUAAUUCAUAGGAUGAUAUGGUCAUAUAUGAUGGUGAAGAAUCUUCACUAUUUUGCUUUAUUUGUUCAUGUGUCUUUGUCUCGGCUUGUCUUUUAUGAUGUCUUGAGUCCUGUAGAUGUCGUCUUGACAUUGUUUGUGAUGUUUGAUCACCCAAGUCCAUCACCUUGCAUCUAUAUGACCAAAACCUAUUGUAUACUCACAAAUAUCGUUAGUGUCAAUGGUUAGUGCUGAUACACAAUCACCAAAAUCAUUAAUGGGCUAUGCUAGAUCCAUUUUCCCUACACACAAAAAGU